rnacentral:rRNA from 1 species
AGCAGCCGCGGUAAUUCCAGCUCCAAUAGCGUAUAUUAAAGUUGUUGCAGUUAAAAAGCUCGUAGUUGAAUUUCGGAAUCAGUACGUUGGUCGUGCCUUUGGUAUGUACUGGUGUCACUGAUUUCUCCCUUCUGACGAACCGUGAUGUCAUUAAUUUGGUGUCAUGGGGAAUCAGGACUGUUACUUUGAAAAAAUUAGAGUGUUUAAAGCAGGCUCACGCUUGAAUACAUUAGCAUGGAAUAAUGAAAUAGGACGUUUGACCCUAUUUUGUUGGUUUCUAGGAUCAACGUAAUGAUUAAUAGGGAUAGUUGGGGGCAUUAGUAUUCAAUUGUCAGAGGUGAAAUUCUUGGAUUUAUUGAAGACUAACUACUGCGAAAGCAUUUGCCAAGGAUGUUUUCAUUAAUCAAGAACGAAAGUUAGGGGGAUCGAAGACGAUCAGAUACCGUCGUAGUCUUAACCCAUAAACUACUGCCGACUAGGGAUCGGAUGAUGUUAAUUUUUUAAUGACUCAUUCGGCGUA